rnacentral:lncRNA from 1 species
AUGACUCACACAAAAAUGCUGGCAGCUCCCUCCCUCCUCCCAUCUCUGUGCCCAAGUUUGGAGACACAGUCAAGGAAGGUAAAUGAGUACGCCAAAUUCAAACAGCAGGUCUCCCAUCUGUGUUUAAGAAAGUUUGUAGAACAUUACAAAAAGGUACAGCAUAUAGUUGUUCUAAUUUUUUAAUUAAUGGUAGGGCCCCCCUCUUCAAAAUUCUACCUAAUGAGCAAGCAUAGGUGUAGAAAUGACUUUGUUUGCAAUCUUGUGCACACACAUGGUAAAAGGUGCCAAUAAUCAUCAAUAAAUUAUAUCUUAACUUCA